rnacentral:lncRNA from 1 species
AUAAACUUGCACAUAAGGUCCUUGGCCGAACCUCACUAAAAACAAGUCAACCAAAAUCUUAGUAUUCAUCUUGUGUAUAACCUUAUUUACCUUCCAAAAAUCACAAAAACAUCAAACUCUUAAUGUUUAUGUACAAGGCCGAAUCUUAACAUGAUCCAACCCCCAACUCAUUCAUUUCAAUCACUCACACGACAUUUGUUCAAUUCUUUAGACAAAUCUAUGUUUGGCCAUUGUACUCAUGAGCAUUAAAAUUUAUAAUUUGACUACUUAAACCCUUCUCUUCAACAAUUCUUCAUAAAACAUAAAGAUUAUAACCCAAUCUCAUCCUUUAAUAACUAAAACCGAAUGCUCAACCCAUCACCAAGAUUUCGA